rnacentral:rRNA from 1 species
CGUAAACGAUGUCGACUUGGAGGUUGUUCCCUUGAGGAGUGGCUUCCGGAGCUAACGCGUUAAGUCGACCGCCUGGGGAGUACGGCCGCAAGGUUAAAACUCAAAUGAAUUGACGGGGGCCCGCACAAGCGGUGGAGCAUGUGGUUUAAUUCGAUGCAACGCGAAGAACCUUACCUACUCUUGACAUCCAGCGAACGGGGCAGAGAUGCCCCGGUGCCUUCGGGAACGCUGAGACAGGUGCUGCAUGGCUGUCGUCAGCUCGUGUUGUGAAAUGUUGGGUUAAGUCCCGCAACGAGCGCAACCCUUAUCCUUUGUUGCCAGCGAUUCGGUCGGGAACUCAAAGGAGACUGCCGGUGAUAAACCGGAGGAAGGUGGGGAUGACGUCAAGUCAUCAUGGCCCUUACGAGUAGGGCUACACACGUGCUACAAUGGCGCAUACAAAGAGAAGCGACCUCGCGAGAGCAAGCGGACCUCACAAAGUGCGUCGUAGUCCGGAUCGGAGUCUGCAACUCGACUCCGUGAAGUCGGAAUCGCUAGUAAUCGUGGAUCAGAAUGCCACGGUGAAUACGUUCCCGGGCCUUGUACACACCGCCCGUCACA